rnacentral:rRNA from 1 species
ACGCUCGACACCUAAGGCAGCAGUGGGGAAUAUUGCACAAUGGGGGAAACCCUGAUGCAGCGACGCCGCGUGAGCGAAGAAGUAUUUCGGUAUGUAAAGCUCUAUCAGCAGGGAAGAAACUGACGGUACCUGACUAAGAAGCACCGGCUAAAUACGUGCCGCAGCCGCGGUAAUCUGAGCGGGCUGGCAAGGC